UUUUAGACCCGAAACCAUUUUUGCUUCAUUUCUUAGUGUGUUCACUACUUCAGCUACAUGUAAGAAAAGAUUACCCAACGCCUCCACUCAAAGAAAUUAGACUCAUCAAAUGCAAAAUAAUGUGUCCUUUUUUAUGUAAGAUGGCUGAUGUACUUCUGGGGCAGAGCGAAGUUACACGGUGUGGAAGAAGACAUAGCAGAAGAACGUCUCCAUCUGUGGAUCAGCCGUAGCAGCGGGAAAUCUACGACUUCUCACGAUUCCUUAGAUGUGGAAAGAGGAUUGAUAGAGCAACAGCUAUGGGAAGCUUCUCGAAGAGAAAUUGAUCAGCUUCCAUCUCCUACUGAUAGAGAAAUUGAUCAGCUUCUCGAUGCUGAUUCAUAGUAAAUGUAUAUUAUUUCUUCUCUUCACGUAAGUUUCACAUAGAAUCUGUGUGCCAUCCAUUUUUUUCACACACUUGAUUGUGUAAGCUUUGGUGUUCUUAUUUUGGCAAAUCUCAAGUCCAACAAGCUUUGUGAAAAGGAAAAAAAAAAACACUGCAACAUAACACAAGCAAUCAAUAUCCAGAUCGAAGAAAAAAAGCUAAAACAAAAAUCUCUAGAACACUUCUCAUUCCUUCUACAAGACAAGAA